CCCUUUGUCUUUUGCGUACUGUAUGUUUCCUCGGCGGGUUCGCCCGCCGAUAGGACACUUCAAAACCUUUUGUAAUUGCAAUCAGCGUCAGAAAAACUAUAAUAGUUACAACUUUCAACAACGGAUCUCUUGGUUCUGGCAUCGAUGAAGAACGCAGCGAAAUGCGAAAAGUAGUGUGAAUUGCAGAAUUCAGUGAAUCAUCGAAUCUUUGAACGCACAUUGCGCCCCUUGGUAUUCCAUGGGGCAUGCCUGUUCGAGCGUCAUUUGUACCCUCAAGCUCUGCUUGGUGUUGGGUGUUUGUCCCGCCUUGCGCGUGGACUCGCCUUAAAGUCAUUGGCAGCCGGAAUAAUUCUGGGGAACGCAGCACAACUGCAGCCUCCAUUUUACGCCGAGCGUCCAGUAAGCCUUUUUUCAACGUUUGACCUCGGAUCAGGUAGGGAUACCCGCUGAACUUAAGCAUAU
rnacentral:rRNA from 1 species